UGACUGUGCCAAGCUUAGGAAAGUCAAGGAGGACCUACAGCAAAAUCUAAGAAAGAAUCAAGAAGCCUAGCAUCUUCCUCAGCAUAAGAUUGAGCUGCAGCUGAAGGAAAAGGUGGAGCAGCAGCAGGCACUGGAGAGAGUGCAUUGUGACCAUGGGCUCCUGCUGAAGGACUUUGCUGCACUUGAAGAAAAACAUUCAUUACUACAGAGAGAGUUGUUAAUUGUGAAGGAGGCACUAGAGAAAUCACUCCUUCAGAGGAAUCAGCUGAUGCAGGACAAGAAUGAGCUUAUUGUGGCACUGAAGAAGCAUGAACAGGACAGGCUGCAAGCAGUGAAGGCAAAAGCUUUGCAGGAGGCUCUCACUUACAUGACCAGCAUCCCAUCAGAGAGGGAGAGAGAAACAGGAACAGACGAGAAUUCCAGAAAAGUGGAAAGAAAUGCAUAAAACUGCUCCCAACCAGGUUAUUAAUGACAUAACAGAUCAAAACCCAGAGUCACUACAAAAGUAAAACCAGGAAGCUGGAGACGCCACAGAAAUGCUGUUAAGGGCUGUUCGUGAGCAUGUGGAACAGACCUUAGAAAAUUUAAAAGGAAAGGACAGACUCCUAGCCAUCCAAAGGCAACAAACAAGGAGCUAUGAGGAGAAAACAGAAGAACAGCUGAAUGUCUUGCACAAAGACUUAAAAUAUGCUAAGGCAGUACUGAAAGAAAAGGAUAUUGUGAUCAAAUCUCAGAAGGAAGUGAUUGAGACCUUCCAAAACCAAGAACAAGACUCUGAACAGCAGAAGAAAAUUCUGCAACAACUUGAAGUGGCACUAAAGGAAAAAGAUCAAGAAAUUGUAUCCCUUAGGAAGCAAUGCGAGGCAUGCAGGGAAAAGGAGGAAAAGCAUGGAGCUGAGCAAAAAAAUCUGCAAGCAACAAAACGGACUCUGAAAGAGAGAGAAAAGAAGCAGGCUACUGCAGAAGGAGUGCAGCAAUCGUGGCUCUUGGAGAAGAAGCUCCUGUCGCAGCAGCUGGAAAACUUGCAGCAAGUAGUUGCAAGGCUGAAACUUACCAACACUGAGCUGAAGAAAUUCAGUGCUGAACUCAAGAAGACUCUUGAGGAGGUGGAAUGUCAAUGGAGGAAACUGAUGAGGCUCCACUGUGAUCAGUCGCUGACAGGUGCAAGUGGAUCUUCCUUCUCCAAGCCUCACCGGCACAAGAUGCCUGCUUCUAGACAGGAGGAGUCCUAUGAACACUGCAGGCAUCAAUGACCUGACUUGCAGAACCAGGGGAGAAGCCAGAAAGCUCUCACUUCUUGAGCAGCUGCAGCACCCCGUGGUUCCUGUCCUGUACCUUUCCCAGAACCAUCUUCUUUUACUGCUGUGGGACAGAGGGGUGGGUUUGUUCUCUUGACAUUUAGAAGUAGUUUACAUAUGGGCAGGGACUCCUAACUUUCCUGUUUUGUUUCUUAAUAAAAGACAUUCUGCAAUCGCUCA
rnacentral:lncRNA from 14 species